UAUAAAUUAUCUAAUCCAUUUUCCAUGCAUUUAUCGUAAACGAAAUAAAAGUACAUUACAAUCGGAAUAAUCACGAACUUGCAAUAACAUGUAAGAUUAACUUUUUGAUCAAAGUUUGAAUUGUGGGCAAUUUUUAAUUUAAGUUUAACAAUAUAAUGUGUUACAAAAUUAUUAGGUGCUAUUUACACUUUGAUUUAAUUUCAAAUCAUAUUUUGGUUUGAAGCUCAUCCACAUGAAUGUUUUUAUUCCAUAAAUAAUAAAAAUGAAUACGAAUAAUGAUAAUUAUUAAUACUAAGCAAUCAUUAUCAUUAUGAAAUAUAAUGAUUUGCUCGCUUAGCAUGCUUCAAACUUGAUAAUUUGAAUCGUCCACAAAAUGCAUUCAUUUUAGUGAUCUUAUCUCAUUAUUUUAAUGCUAUGACAAUCAUUACUAAAGUAGUUUUAAGAAAAAUAAUAAAUCCACUGUAGUAGAAGAUGAAGAAGACAGAAGAAAGAGUCUUGUCUUGAAUGAAAUAUGCUGUUUGUUAUAGCUAUGCAAGUAACGCAAGAAAAACAACAAAAAUCAGCCACAAAUUACGUUAGUAUGCCGAGCAAUCAGCAAGUUAUCUAUUACAUCCCUUACCCCAAUUCAUUACAAUCACCAGCAUACACUUCUACAUUUUGGGACCCUGAGGCUGUUUGUUGGACUUACUGUUCUAUACCGCCAAAUAAUCCUUUUGAUCCUUAUAGUAAUCCCUUUUUUCGAUAUUAUCACCCACAAUAUUAUCAAUCUGAUAAUCUGAUCAAUUUAAUGUCUGUGUACCAAUGUACAAGUGGUAGUAAUAUGCAAAAUUUGAACGAUGAUAGCCCUAUUGUUUAUCCCAAUUACAUUCCUUCAAACGAACCUUAUGGUGUUUACGCAGGAUCACAAUGGAGUCAAGAAUCAUCGGUAACCCCAACGAGCUGCGCAACAACAACCACUGAACAUUCAGAACAGUCCUUUCCUCCACCUUCACCCAUGUCCUCGAGAUCAUCAAAAGACGACGAAAGAAGUGAAGAAAAUAACAGUUUGUGUACGGCAAAAAUGAUCGAUUAUGACAACUCCAGUGCUUUAGCCGAGUCUUCAGACUCAAGCGGAGAAUCUGACUCUUACAUGGUAUAUUCUACAGGUAUAAAUCCAGUUAAUCUACUGAAAAAAAAUAUAACCAAAAAAAUUGAAACAAAAAUCAAUGUAGAAGAUGAGAAGAAUAAUAAUUUUUCUCUUCGAGAGAAACUGCAUUCUGAGAGAAAAAAUGCAAAUCAAUUUAUUGCGGGUAAUCAAAAUAAGGAUGGCAAAAUAUUAGAGCAGACUAAUGACCAUGAAGAUGAAAUAAACAAAACUGUAAGUGUGAGUCUACCUUUAAGACUGAAAUUUUCGGUUUCCGAUAAGAAUGAAGAUAUUACUACUGUUAUUGUUGGGGAUAGCACCAUUAAAACAGACGAAGCAAGCGGUAAUACGACUUUGAAACAAUUGGUUAUUCAAGCUGAAAACGAAGAAGUACUUAUGGAGAAACCAACAUCCCCUACCUUGAAUGAAACAAGCUCAUAUGAUUCAAAUUUAACAAAUGAAUCUGAUACCAAAACAAUGUUUGGUGAAUCGGAACAAAAAGUUGAAAAGGACAACACACGAGAAAACUCAUUCCAUAUUGACAGUGGGACCUCUCCCGAGCUUAGUAAAGUCGUAUCUAAUGCUAAUUCUAGUUCCGAAGUUGAUUCAUCAACCAUUGAAAAAGUCGAAUCAUCAAAAAAUUCCUCAACAACUAGCAGAAAAACAAACAAGUACCAAAGGACUCAAACCCACUCAAGACUUUUCAAACUGCUUAACGAGGAACUUCGCUCAGAAAGCAGCUGCUCGGAUAACGGAGCAAAACAAACAGAAGAAAAGUCAUCGAAUGAUACAGUUGAUAAAGACAUGUGUACGAGGGAGCAAACAGUAUCGCGAAUAUCUCGACCGAAAUCUCUGGAUUGCGAAGCAUUGUUCAGACGGUACCAAGAGCAACACGAAGACUCUUACUAUCAGACGUGGAAGAGCAUGAACCGUAACACUCGAAACCCAGGAAACAUGCCGAAUGUUCAUUUAACAUUUCCUCACCGUACUAACGUAUUCUGUCCACGAACUCACAAUUCAUUGCCUCGCAUGAAAUCUCCUUUGAGAAAAGCACCGACUGUGAUAUCAUCGCCAACACCAACUUCAGCGACAAGUCCCAGUCCUAUAACUGUGAUGAGAAACAAUAGACGUUGCUGAUUGUUGGCAAACGUAGUAGAGUGGCUCCUCUUCUGUUCAAAGCAAUGCUCAAUGAGGGUACUGAUGUAUUUAGAAUAAACGAAACUAUUAUUAUGGGGUCCAUUACUGCCUACUAUCGAGAACAGACGAAAAUAUUGCCAUAAAGAGAGACGUUUUGUGCGUACAUACAGAACCAAGAAUAUGCCUUUUUCAUUCCUAUCGGUCCUGAUGUAACUGACUAUUAAAGGAAGAAAAAAACAACGCGAAUACUUUAGUGCAUUCUCUUAUGGCGUGGACGUUUCUUCAUUUAUAGCAACUCCCAGCGGCGCGAAUAUUAUAAUUAUCUAAUACACGUUAUAUAGCGUGAAACUUAUUUUAUUGAAAACGACAUUUACUAUUAUAUAA